UCAAGGCAUGACGGAUUUCAACAGGGAUUCUGAUAGCGAGACCAAGACAAAAGCAAUAAAAGCAUUUACAAGACCAUCGCAGUAAUCAUAAUGUAGUCGUUGCUGUGGUCGCUCAUUAUCAAGCUAACCUCUAACUCUGCUCCACAGUAACUGCUUGUGCUGCGGACCGGCCGGCAACAGGUUAAGAUGGAGAAACAUUGACGCCUGCAUUCAUCCAUCUAAACGUCGGCAUUAGCUGCAGGCAGACUCUUUCAGUCUUGCCAUCAAAACCUGCCAGAUUCCAUUUUCAAGCUGAUGAGCAAGAUUCUCAUGGUGUGAUGCUGCAAUCUCAACUUUCCAUAGUGGGGGGUGAAGUGAAAGGCAGAGCACGGUCAGCCUAAUAAGAGCCAGAUGGAUUACCUCAUCAAUCAAAGUUCCCAGAAUCCCGUCCUCUGUUUGUGUGUGCGUGCAUCCCACCAGUGCUGUGUCUCUCAUCAAAGAAGGGAAGAUGCCUCCUCCUCCUCUGUUGUUCUCCGGCUCUCGACCUUGAACCCUUCAGCCUUGGUGACAAUGACCAAGACCCUCAGGCAAACAUGAACUCCCUGAACCCGUCCACACCAUUCAUAACCAGUCACCUCCUCACACAAGGUCCCCUUCCUCUGCUUUAAUGAUGGAGGUACACCCCCACUGCAUUGACACUGUUGCAUAAGCAUGCGUGUGCAUGUGUGUGGGAGAUUGGGUGUGUUGGUUGUUAAUGCAGGCAAAGGGUGGAACUUCCUUAACAUGUGCUGCUGUCUUUAAAUAGCUGUACGAAUGAGGGCUUUGGCAAAUUUGUUUUGUACUUUUGCACAAAAAUAGCUAGAUUACACCCUAUGUAGUAUCAGCGUUUCCGUACUUAUCAAGAAAGGAAAGAUCCUUUUCAGUUUUUUUUAGAUAAACCUUUGAUUUACAUUUUUUAAAAAUUAUUUUCCUUCCGUGUGUCAAAAAAAAAAGGAAGCAACACACAAUAUACUCACUAAACAAUAUCAGGAAAUCCUCCACAAAUGCAAAAUCACACUUAAAAGCAUGUGCAUGUAUUAAGUGAACCACAAAAACAACUUCAUUACCCAGGAGGUAAUAGGUAUAAAGCCACAGGCCAGAACACUCUUUGUGGAUGGGUGGGGGCUGGGUUCCCUAGCAACAGGCGUGUUGAUAUCCAAACAAUGUUCAUGUCGUCAGAGUGUAGCUGGUCGGGCCAGACCGAGGUUCUGCUGAGUGAGACAAUGUCACUGUGUGUUCCCGAAUGCCAGCAAAUGAAAAGAGGCAGAUAGACCUCUUGACUGGAAGACAGCAGGGCGGGAUGCAAAGUUCAAAGUGUCUACAUGACGCUUUCAACGAUGGCAGAGAAAUCUUUUCAUUUUUUAACUCCACAAAGUUUCCAUACACUCAUGGCGUUCAUUUAGAUCACACAAAACGUUUCUGUUAAAUAACAUCUUUGAAUCUUUUUGACAAAAAAUUUGGAUAUAUAAUCCCAGUCAGCCGUUUACAUGCAGUCAUCAUUCUAGUUCUACCUGUAAAUUCUUCCUGUAAACAUGUUUACAAACAGUGUUCAUAACAACAAUAAUAAUAGCAGCAAUUGUCAUUUUUUAUUAUUGUUAUCAUAAUAAUGGGAAUAAAUGUAGCCAUUAAGCUUCAAACUAAUCACCCUCAGCAAUUUGUACCUCAAUCCUAAUCCGACUGUUGCCAUCAACAGUAGCGUGAAAAUAUCUGAGCAGGAAUUGCAUUCCAAACAAUGAAAAAUCUGUACAUUUAAGCGUAUGUUUGUAAUUAUUUGUUUAUUAUGAUUAUUGUCAUUCAGAAUUCAUAUUAUGCACCAUCAAUUAUAUCAAGAGGUCUUUUCUGUGAAGAGAGCCUCAAAAUAUAAUACUGCUGUUAGCAUGAUUUAUAGAUUGGGCAAGUGGAUUAUUCUGGAGUUGUAAAGAAACCACGAGCUUUCUGUAGACAUCAACAUGCAUGAUGUACAAUGCAGGAUGGGUCUUUGAUACCUUUAUACCAGAACUGGAAGGUUUCAUUUAAAAUAACUGGUUUCUUAAAGUGGGCCUCACUUUUUAACAUAGUCCAAACUUUUUCAUAUAAUAGGGCGAGGGCCUGGGCCUUUCUCCAAGAUCAAUGUCAGUCGGAUUUAUCCUUUCCAAAAUCAGUUCUGAUGUUUGUUUUGGAUCAUUGUUCUGUUGCAACACCUGUCGAUCUGAAAGCUGUUGAACUGAGGUGAAGCUGAAGUAUUUGGAAGCAGCCCUACAUCCACUUUGUGCGAUGAACCAGGAGGAGUGAAACAAACCCUCAACUGGAUGCUUCCUCUGUAUUGUCCAUUUCUCCAGAGGGAAUUACGGCAUUACUUCCUAAACGGAAAGGUACAAAUUUGAGAUUCCUUUCAAUAUAUGUAACACAUAAUACAAGACAAUUUUUGUAAUUAUUAUUUUUUUAGAAAUGUAGAUACACUGUAGAAAUACAGAAAAUGUCUGUUUUUAAGUAGUAGAAGUGUUUGUGAAUGCACCUGGAGAUACACUGUAAAAAUACUAAAUAAUCUGUUUUGUCAAUAAAUUUGACGUAAGAAACUCUUAAGCAAAGAAAAAAGUCAAUUUUAGAGUUGAUGGAAAAGUUCAUACUGUCAAUGGAAAGUGUCCUAAUAAUUUUCUGUCAGGAAAGAAUGUUUUCAAAUAAUUUUUUCUUAUAGUGAAUUGGUUCUUGUCAGGCACCUUCUCGGUCUUCCAGUUCAUGACCCUGGUGUUCGUUAAUUAUUAAUAUUUAUUCUGAGUAUUUUCUUUCCUCAGUGUGAAACAGUUUGAUUCACUUUUCCAAUUUUAUUUAUAAGAAUGGUUAAAUGUCCAGUCAGACAACAAGAGGAACCUGAUCUACCUACCGAGAGAUGUUUAGCCAACAUUAGUGUAAGUGAACGCAGACGCUUAGUCUGUUUCCAUACUGUAUAUAUGGUUUAACAAGUGGAAUAAAUUUACACUUCCAAAC